rnacentral:rRNA from 1 species
CCUACGGGUGGCAGCAGUGAGGAAUAUUGGUCAAUGGACGAGAGUCUGAACCAGCCAAGUAGCGUGAAGGAUGACUGCCCUAUGGGUUGUAAACUUCUUUUAUAAAGGAAUAAAACGAGGCACGUGUGCCUUUUUGCAUGUACUUUAUGAAUAAGGAUCGGCUAACUCCGUGCCAGCAGCCGCGGUAAUACGGAGGAUCCGAGCGUUAUCCGGAUUUAUUGGGUUUAAAGGGAGCGUAGAUGGGUUGUUAAGUCAGUUGUGAAAGUUUGCGGCUCAACCGUAAAAUUGCAAUUGAUACUGGCAGUCGUGAGUACAGUUGAGGUAGGCGGAAUUCGUGGUGUAGCGGUGAAAUGCUUAGAUAUCACGAAGAACCCCGAUUGCGAAGGCAGCUUACUAAACUGUAACUGACAUUGAUGCUCGAAAGUGUGGGUAUCAAACAGGAUUAGAUACCCCAGUAGUC